GCUUCCUUAGCUCAGUCGGUAGAGCGCGAGUCUCAUAGGAAUAUGAGGACGUCUUAGUUCACAAUCUCGAGGUCGCAAGUUCGAGCCUUGCAGGGAGCA